rfam:Triticum aestivum genome assembly, contig: Triticum_aestivum_CS42_TGACv1_scaffold_254979_3DL
CAACUACUCCCUCUGUCCCAAAUUUCUUGUCUUAGAUUUGUCUAGAUACGGAUGUAUCUAAUACUAAAAUGUGACUUGAUACAUCCGUAUCUAGACAAAUCUAAGACAAGAAUUUUGGG